rnacentral:rRNA from 1 species
UUUCCCUCAGGAUAGCUGGCACUCGCUCGAGCGAGUCUCAUCUGGUAAAGCGAAUGAUUAGAGGCCUUGGGGCCGAAACGACCUCAACCUAUUCUCAAACUUUAAAUGGGUGAGAUCUCUGGCUUGCUUGAACAUUGAAGCCACGAGAUUUUUCACGGAUCAGAGUGCCAAGUGGGCCAAUUUUGGUAAGCAGAACUGGCGCUGUGGGA